CCUACGGGAGGCAGCAGUGGGGAAUAUUGGGCAAUGGGCGCAAGCCUGACCCAGCAACGCCGCGUGAAGGUAGAAGGCUUUCGGGUUGUAACCUUCUUUUCUCAGGGACGAAGCAAGUGACGGUACCUGAGGAAUAAGCCACGGCUAACUACGUGCAGGCAGCCGCGGUAAUACGUAGGUGGCAAGCGUUAUCCGAAUUUACUGGGUGUAAAGGGCGUGUAGGCGGGAAAGCAAGUCGGAUGUGAAAACCAUGGGCUCAACCUGUGGCCUGCAUUUGAAACUGUUUUUCUUGAGUGCUGGAGAGGCAGACGGAAUGCCUAGUGUAGCGGUGAAAUGCGUAGAUAUUAGAAGGAACACCAGUGGCGAAGGCGGUCUGCUGGACAGCAACUGACGCUGAGGCGCGAAAGCGUGGGGAGCAAACAGGAUUAGAUACCCUUGUAGUC
rnacentral:rRNA from 1 species